GAUGAACGCUGACAGAAUGCUUAACACAUGCAGGUCAACUUGAAUUUGGGUUUUUAACUUAGGUUUGGGUGGCGGACGGGUGAGUAACGCGUAAAGAACUUGCCUCACAGCUAGGGACAACAUUUGGAAACGAAUGCUAAUACCUAAUAUUAUGAUAAUAGGGCAUCCUAUAAUUAUGAAAGCUAUAAGCGCUGUGAGAGAGCUUUGCGUCCCAUUAGCUAGUUGGAGAGGUAACGGCUCACCAAGGCGAUGAUGGGUAGCCGGCCUGAGAGGGUGAUCGGCCACAAGGGGACUGAGACACGGCCCUUACUCCUACGGGAGGCAGCAGUGGGGAAUAUUGGACAAUGGACCAAGAGUCUGAUCCAGCAAUUCUGUGUGCACGAUGAAGUUUUUCGGAAUGUAAAGUGCUUUCAGUUGGGAAGAAAGAAAUGACGGUACCAACAGAAGAAGUGACGGCUAAAUACGUG
rnacentral:rRNA from 1 species